AUUGAACGCUGGCGGCAGGCCUAACACAUGCAAGUCGAGCGGAUGAAGGGAGCUUGCUCCUGGAUUCAGCGGCGGACGGGUGAGUAAUGCCUAGGAAUCUGCCUGGUAGUGGGGGAUAACGUCCGGAAACGGGCGCUAAUACCGCAUACGUCCUGAGGGAGAAAGUGGGGGAUCUUCGGACCUCACGCUCUCAGAUGAGCCUAGGUCGGAUUAGCUAGUUGGUGGGGUAAAGGCCUACCAAGCCGACGAUCCGUAACUGGUCUGAGAGGAUGAUCAGUCACACUGGAACUGAGACACGGUCCAGACUCCUACGGGAGGCAGCAGUGGGGAAUAUUGGACAAUGGGCGAAAGCCUGAUCCAGCCAUGCCGCGUGUGUGAAGAAGGUCUUCGGAUUGUAAAGCACUUUAAGUGGGGAGGAAGGGCAGUAAGUUAAUACCUUGCUGUUUUGACGUUACCAACAGAAUAAGCACCGGCUAACUUCGUG
rnacentral:rRNA from 1 species